AAAAUGCGAUACUUGGUGUGAAUUGCAGAAUCCCGUGAACCAUCGAGUUUUUGAACGCAAGUUGCGCCCGAAACCAUUCGGUGGAGGGCACGUCUGCCUGGGCGUCACGU
rnacentral:rRNA from 1 species